CCUACGGGGGGCAGCAGUAGGGAAUCUUUCACAAUGGGCGAAAGCCUGAUGGAGCAACGCCGCGUGCAGGAUGAAGGCCUUCGGGUUGUAAACUGCUUUUAUAAGCGAGAAAUAUGAUGGUAACUUAUGAAUAAGGAUCGGCUAACUACGUGCCAGCAGCCGCGGUCAUACGUAGGAUCCGAGCAUUAUCCGGAGUGACUGGGUGUAAAGAGUUGCGUAUGUGGCAUAAUAAGUAGCUAGUGAAAUCUGGUGGCUCAACCAUUCAGACUAUUAGCUAAACUGUUAAGCUCGAGACCGUUAGGGGUAACUGGAAUUUCUGGUGUAGGAGUGAAAUCCGUAGAUAUUAGGAGGAACACCAAUAGCGUAGGCAGGUUGCUGGGACGGUUCUGACACUGAGGCACGAAAGCGUAGGGAGCAAACGGGAUUAGAUACCCCUGUAGUC
rnacentral:rRNA from 1 species